GCUUCUCAGCUAAUGAUUUUAUACCCUUUAAGCCAAUUUUCUCAUUACAACUUGGGUCUGAUAGCAUCAAUCUCAGGUUUUGCAAAAAUUACACAGAAUGAUGUGUGAAAUGGUCAGUUGUGAUAAGCACCUGUAAAUGAUGCUCUUAGGUUAAUAAUCUCCUUCAAUCCUAUCAUCUCAAGAUCCUCUCUUGCUAACUAGAUGCUUCAUGGCUCAGUUUUUUUGUCUUAUUUUUUUAUCACCUCUGUUGCAGAAACCCUGGCAGGAUGCCUUCCCUCUUCUCCACAGAUGAGAGAUGAAGUGACUUUCUCAGUCUCUUUCUCUUGUGAUUUUUAUUGUAUGGUCACUUGGGUCAGGAGGAGUCACCAGUCACCUAGAACUGUCAAGGAGGGAUUUUCUUCUUCUGCAACUGUCAGAAGUCUCUGGGUUUCCUCAUCAAAUUCAGUUUUUUGCAGCCUGUACCUGUGUCCAAUCAUUUCCCUCAUUUGGCAGAGAACAGACAAUCAGGAGAAAUGCCUUGCCUGGGGCUACAAGACUCAGCACGGAAAAGCUGGCAUAACAUGAUUUGGAAAAACUAUGGAAAAUCCAAGUCUUCCCACUGCCUCAAGCACCACCUUCGGAACCUCUCACAAAAGAUUCCCCUGGAUUUUCUACACCAACGUUCAUGUUGCUUAAGAAUAAAGACAGUUUUACUUU